GCGCCGUUCCGUGCGUGCCUUCCUAUCACCACGUGCCAAGCCAACGGGGCCACCUGCGCUAAAUCACACAGGAGAAUCCGCGAAGGCUCGGGGCGGCUGGCGGCCGUGUUUGGACAGCUGUGCCAUAGGUAGCCAGACGCGUUCACACGACGGCCGCUGCUAGCUGUGCGCGGCGCUAUGGAAGUAACUAGGACACUUCUGUCCCGGACACACAGGCGCACCGGAGGAGAUCGCUCGGGGUCGCCGCGCUUUUGGGGCCUGGCUGAGAGUGAAGACCGAGGCGAAGACGAAGCUGCAGCCAACUGGGACGCGCGCGUAGCAGAGUCAAGCGGACAUCGGUUCGAUGCAGACCGGAGGUGUUGGCGUUUAUAAAUAGAGCCACUGGUGCUGCUGGAUUUCUCUUUCGAGACGCAC